AAAGGAUUGAGAGAAGUUGAACAUGAACAAAAUGAAGAUUGUUUAAAUGUUCACAUUUUGACACCUGAAAAACCUUGUCACAACAUUCCAUUCUUUCUAGAUGUGAUUAUCUAUGCAAUGCUACUGUGACAUAGUGGUGACUAUAAGAUACUGAGAAUGUAGAUAGUUGAAUGUGUUUCUUCUUCCAUUCCCAUUUGUGGGAGAGAAGGUUGGCCUUACAUCUCUUCUUGCUCUAUUGUCAGAAUGCUGCCUGGCAUAGAAACAAUCAAUUUUAAGUUGAAUGAAGAAAAAGAGAUGGAAGCAAGUGGCAUUUUCAAAGAAUGGAAAAACUAAGGAGAAUCUGACUACAGGCACCCACUAGUAAAGCCCCAGGUAAGACAAAGUGAAUAUAAAAUCUAUUUAACUGAGAAUAUAUUCUCAGAAAAUAAAAAAUGCUGAUUAAAAAUAC
rnacentral:lncRNA from 1 species